rnacentral:rRNA from 1 species
AUUGAACGCUGGCGGCAGGCCUAACACAUGCAAGUCGAACGAGUGGCGGACGGGUGAGUAAUGUCUGGGAAACUGCCUGAUGGAGGGGGAUAACUACUGGAAACGGUAGCUAAUCCCGCAUACCAUCAGAUGUGCCCAGAUGGGAUUAGCUAGUUGUUGGGGUAACGGCUAACCAAGGCGACGAUCCCUAGCGGGUCUGAGAGGAUGACCGGCCACACGGGAACUGGGAAAGGGGCCAGACUCCUACGGGAGGAAGCAGUGGGGAAUAUGGAACAAGGGGCGAAAGCCUUAUGCAGCCAUGCCGCGUGGAUGAAGAAGGCCUUCGGGUUGUAAAGUACUUUCAGCGGGGAGGCGUUACCCGCAGAAGAAGCACCGGCUAACUCCGUGCCAGCAGCCGCGGUAAUAC